rnacentral:misc_RNA from 1 species
AGCAGCCGCGGUAAUUCCAGCUCCAAUAGCGUAUAUUAAAGUUGUUGCAGUUAAAAGCUCGUAGUUGAACUUCGGGGUCUACCCAUUGGUCAGGCUUAAUUGUCUGUACUGGUGAGAUGGAUCUCUACCUUCUGAGGAACUUUCAUGCCAUUUAUUUGGUGUGGUUGGAAAUCAGGACUGUUACUUUGAAAAAUUGAGUGUUUAAAGCAGACUAUCGUCUGAAUACAUUAGCAUGGAAUAAUGAAAUAGGACGGACUGAUUCUAUUUCGUUGGUUUCUAGGAUCACCGUAAUGAUUAAUAGGGAUAGUUGGGG